rnacentral:rRNA from 1 species
GAGUCGCAUGGCACUGAUAUCAAAGGAGCAAUCCGCUGAAAGAUGGGCUCGCGCCCGAUUAGGCAGUUGGCGGGGUAACGGCCCACCAAACCGACAAUCGGUAGCCGGACUGAGAGGUUGAACGGCCACAUUGGGACUGAGACACGGCCCAGACUCCUACGGGAGGCAGCAGUGGGGGAUAUUGCACAAUGGGGGAAACCCUGAUGCAGCGAUGCCGCGUGAAUGAAGACGGCCUUCGGGUUGUAAAGUUCUGUCGCAGGGGACGAAAAUGACGGUACCCUGCAAGAAAGCUCCGGCUAACUACGUGCCAGCAGCCGCGGUAAUACGUAGGGAGCAAGCGUUGUCCGGAAUUACUGGGUGUAAAGGGAGCGUAGGCGGGAGGAUAAGUUGAAUGUGAAAUCUAUGGGCUCAACCCAUAGCUGCGUUCAAAACUGUUCUUCUUGAGUGAAGUAGAGGCAGGCGGAAUUCCUAGUGUAGCGGUGAAAUGCGUAGAUAUUAGGAGGAACACCAGUGGCGAAGGCGGCCUGCUGGGCUUUUACUGACGCUGAGGCUCGAAAGCGUGGGUAGCAAACAGGAUUAGAUACCCUGGUAGUCCACGCGGUAAACGAUGAUUACUAGGUGUGGGUG